rnacentral:rRNA from 1 species
GCCAGACUCCUACGGGAGGCAGCAGUGGGGAAUAUUGCACAAUGGGGGGAACCCUGAUGCAGCGACGCCGCGUGGGUGAAGGAGCACCUCGGUGCGUAAAGCCCUAUCGGCAGGGAAGAAAAGCGAACAGGUUCGCCUGGACGGUACCUGACUAAGAAGCCCCGGCUAACUACGUGCCAGCAGCCGCGGUAAUACGUAGGGGGCAAGCGUUAUCCGGAUUCACUGGGUGUAAAGGGAGCGCAGGCGGCGCGCCAAGUCUGAUGUGAAACCCCGGGGCUCAACCCCGGGCAUGCAUUGGAAACUGGCGGGCUGGAGUGCCGGAGAGGUAAGCGGAAUUCCUAGUGUAGCGGUGAAAUGCGUAGAUAUUAGGAGGAACACCAGUGGCGAAGGCGGCUUACUGGACGGCAACUGACGCUGAGGCUCGAAAGCGUGGGGAGCAAACAGGAUUAGAUACCCUCGUACG